rnacentral:tRNA from 1 species
GCACUGGUGGUCUAGUGGUAGAAUUCUUGCCUUUCGUGCGUGAGACCCAGGUUCAAUUCCUGGCCGAUACA